rnacentral:rRNA from 1 species
AUUGAACGCUGGCGGCAUGCUUUACACAUGCAAGUCGGACGAGUGGCGGACGGGUGAGUAAUAUAUUGGAACGUACCGAGUAAUGGGGGAUAACCAAUCGAAAGAUUGGCUAAUACCGCAUAUUAUUCGAGCUGCCAAUAUCUGAUUAGCUAGUUGGUGGGGUAAUGGCCUACCAAGGCGACGAUCAGUAGCGGGUCUGAGAGGAUGAUCAGCCACACUGGUAGUGAGACACGGUCAAUACUCCUACGUGAGGCAGCAGAGGGGAAUUUUGGACAAUGGGCGCAAGCCUGAUACAGCCAUGCAGCGUGUCUGAAGAAGGCCUUCGGGUUGGAAAGGACAUUUGUUGGGGAAGCGGUACUUACAGAAUAAGCACCGGCUAACUACGUGCCAGCAGCCGCGGUAAUAC